rnacentral:lncRNA from 1 species
UUUUUUCUGAGAAGGAAUCCAUCGGUUUCAUGACAAUGCCCAAGGGGCCAAUGACACAAAAAAGUAUCACAUUUCCAGGCAAUUUUCAACGAGCCCAACUGAUUUGAAUCAAUCAAAAAAUGUCUUGGUGGACAAAACAACUAUUGUCAUCAAUCUGUUGGAGGAUGUGGCUGGUGAGGCCGAGGCCAUGGUUUAAUCAGAAAACCACUUGGUUCCCCAACUACAGUCUGCAUUCCUCGCUGCAGUAACCCAUUUCACUGGUCUUCAAAGAGAAUCUGGACGAAUGCUCUAUGGCUCAGCACAAAUACCUCUAUACCAGGGUUCAGAAAAUAAUUUGUG